UUUAGGAGCCAAAAUUCUGAACAGAUGCCCUUCUCACACAUUUGCAUAGAUUUCCUCCUCACCACUGCACUAUAUUCAAUAGCAAUAAUAGGGGCACUUGGCACAACAGGAGCUGCAAACGUACAGUACUGUGGGACUGCACCCUGAGGGUGGGGGCACGGCCCUGCCAUCCUGGCUGCCACCCUUGGCUCCUGGCUUGCCCUCCCUUACAGAGCAGCCUGCUCUGUUCCUUGACAAAGCCCUUCAGGGAGAAAAUUUGUCAGGAAGACGACUUGCUGGUGUCCUUCCUCUUCAUAAAAUCGCUGCAAUUUCAUAACUUACUGACAUCACAUCUGGCGUAACAAACAAAACUACCUUCCCACAGAACAUCUGACCAGAGAGAGGUAUACCAGCAGAGUGGAAAAAAAAGUGUGCACAAACUUCCCUGCCAGAAAAGAUGAAGAAAUUGUAUUUCUGCUAUGUGUAAUUCAGAGUAUGCCCAUGUACACAGUCCAUUUAGAGGACAUUAUUCUGGAUGCUAAAUGUCAUCACACACAUGAAAUAAAAAAAAAAAAGAUACAGAAUUACUAUUCAAGUAGGUGAGUUAAUUCAAGAUGAAAAUACCUUCUUGAAAAAUAGGAUGUACAUAUAAAGAUGCCUAAUCUGACAGAGAUUUAUGACAAACACAUGCAGUAAAGAAUGUUUUUUUCAGGUUUUGUUAAAACAUGAACACUCUGGUGGAAUUGGAAUAAAAAUGAAAUUGGCCAGAAAGACGGAAAUUUGAGAAGCUCAUCAGCUACAGUAACCUGUCAGCACAGAAGUACAUGAAUAUUCUUAUCUAUAUCAAAAAUAAUGAAAUAUUGGUUUCUUUACUGUAAACGUUUAUCACUGGUGGUAUUAUAACAGUGUUACACUGAUAGCAAUAUCACUACUGAAGAAUGAACUCCUAACCCCAGAGCUAUUAGUGAUUUGAUUUUAUGGCACUUGGCAGAAUAAGAGAGCCAUUACAUAAGUAUUGCAAGUAUUACAUAACAGAUGCCAAUUCUUUUCUUCUCGAGUGCCAAAAUGCAAUGAUGACAAAACUGAAUAAAGAAAGCAGAAGGUUGUUACACAGUUAAUUAUUUUAAAGCUUUUCUAGUCUGGAAGGUAAUAGAACAUAGCAUUUUAAGGAAAAAAAGCAGAUUUUGUGAUAAAAGUAACUGUCACACGUGAACUAUCUGAAGUAUGGAAUCUGACCUGACACAGAAUUUCAGAGCCAGGAAUGUGUUAGUUCUUGGGUGAAAACGUGCUUUAUUUUUCCUUUUUCCAAGUCAGGCCUUCAUCUAAAGACUAAUUAAAAUCAUGAGAAUACAACAAGUCAUA